rnacentral:ribozyme from 13 species
UUCUUUCUUUCUUCUUCAUCUUCUCUCUUUCUCUUUCUUUCUUUCUUUCUUUCUUUUUUUCUUUCAGAUAACAAAAUGUCGGACAGAAGGUU